GGAGAGAUGGCUCAGUGGCUAAGAGCACUGGUUCUUCCAGAGGACCUGGGUUCAAUUCCCAGCACUGCCA
rnacentral:tRNA from 1 species